rnacentral:lncRNA from 1 species
GCAUGACACCAAGCAGCAAGUGUAAUUGAAGGGAAAUGCUCUAUCCAUAUACUGAGAGGACUAGUCAAGAGAUCAGGCCUCAAAACAGGAAAAUGGUUCCAAUGGAGAAGUAGAGUAUGAGUCAAGAAUUGAGAGAUGAGCAAUAUACAUUAGCAUUAGAAAACACUAAAGAAAGUAUACGUGCCUAGAGCCUCUUAGGCACACUACAAAGAAGAUGACCUGAAAAGUGACUGCUGACAGGCUCCACAUAUAGGUGAUAUGAAAGUUCCCUCAGCCUUGUUAGUAUGAGUGAGCCUAUAAAGUGAAGAUAAAUGAGAAAGGGAUUAGAUGAGUCAUCUGAGUGUGUAAGGCCCUUGCAACAAGAGCAUGAAGAUGAUAAAAGAGGACAGAAAGGGAACAAGUUGGGUGAAAAGAAAACAAUGAAUUAGGGUGAAAAGAAAACAAUGAAUUAGGGUGAAAAGAUCAAGCCAGUGGCCAAACUCUCUACAACUAGAAAAGACUUAUCAGUUUCUCAUGUAGUGGCUAUAUGCAUACUGGCUUUGUAAUCGUUGCUUAAGCCGUAUUUGUGUUGUGCAUUUUUUAUUAACUCUUAUGCAUUGCCAGGACCCUGAAGGUGUCAUACUCUUCCUGACAGGACCUACCAGCUUGACGGAGAGCUCUAUCCCCAUUUCCUAAAGAAGAAACCUAAUCCUUGGAAAUGUUCAGUGGCUGCCCCAAGAUGUCGGCACAACCUCUUGUGCUCUUGCGUCCUGCCACAAGAACAUAUGUCCCAGAAAAGGGCCACUCCAUCAGCCUAGGUCCAGAAAUGAGAGGACACAUGGACUGAACUUGAAGAUGGCCCACAGCAGACCUGCAGUCAACUCUCAGCCUUUAUGUAAUGUGGGAAAGAAGGAAAUGUGAAUAUUAUAGACUACUAAAAUUCUAAAGUUGUAACAUAGCAAAAUGAUCAAUACAAUUAGCAGUGGCUAUCAGUCUAGCAUAUUGUCAUGCUAUAUGCAUGCUAUAAAAUUAUUGAACAAAAAUAUCACUACCCCAUCAUGGACAAAUUGGACUUCUCUUUUCUCCUUAUGACUGCAUCAUGUGUGAUGAUCAGAAAUGGAGUGAAGAGAGAAAAAUAAGAAAAUUCAAGAAUGUGCUACAGAGUGAUCCUCUCCCUCUUAGGGCACCCACAGAAACCACUCAUGGCUUCUCUGUCUGCAUCCUCUCCACACAAACAUAUUCUUUAAGGUACCAGCCCCAUAUCACAUACCUGCAUGUCAGCCCAUAACAGGCCUUAACUUAGAAGCCGAAGAUCCAUAACUACACAAGUAUUCAUGUUGUAUAAUGUGGAGCAGCACCAAGAAAUAAAGUGGCAGACAAUACUGCCUAUGACUAAAGUGACCCCUUGAUCCCCUCCCAAAGCAGUCUCCAUAUCAUAACUAUCAAUUGUAAAAAUAGUAUAUAUUUUAUAUAUUCUCCCUAAUAGGUAACUCUAUAUUUUAAAAUCUUAAGCUCCUAGUUUUAAUCCACUUCGUCCCAUCAGAGUACUUUUUUCUCAACUUUCUCAUUUACAAGGCCAUUUUUAUUUUUGCCUCACUCUGUGCUGAUGGUCCCAGAUCUACUCAUUCAGUUUCUUCUCUUCUAUAAUGUCUAUUUUCAGACACCUAGGAGAUUGACAACUGCUAGAAAUACCACUCACUCAACUGCUCCUUUCCUCUUCUUUCAUACUUGGGCAUAAACUUUACUGUAUCUUAAACACAUCUUCCUAAAUGCCUCACGACUAUGAUAAACUUGACAUGCUUACAACUG